rnacentral:rRNA from 1 species
UCACUAGCGGAGGAGAAAGAGACUCUCUCUGAUUUCCCCACUAUCUGCGAGAGAGAGGGAGAGAUCUUCUUUGGGUCUGGCACAGUGUUCACUGUGUGCGUUGUAGAUGUGAAGUAGUCCCUCUGGGUGCACGGCGUCCCCGUGCACUAGACCGUCACAGUGACAUAAUAGAGAGUGACACUACCCUCUCCGAGACCACUGUGCAAGUCUGUUUUGAUAGGUAUAUCUGAGAGUGGAGCACAGUGGGAUAUUCGGCGUUAACACGGGAGAUAGAUUCUUUUUCAAGAUAAAUACACGCGAGAGACCGAUAGAGAACACGUACAGCAAGGGAAAGAGGAAAUAGCACUCUCUGAAAGGAGUCAAAAGACGUGAAAAUGUUGCGAGAGAAGAGAUUCAAGUCUGCGCAGCUAGGCCCCUCAAGCCUCUUGCUUUGGACUAGAUUUGCCCGCGGUCUUGUCUUAAGAGACUUGAGUUUUAUGUCCAACCUGGUAAGCACCGGUAGCCCCUCCUCGGGGCCAGUGACAUGGCUGGUGGAAUGGCUUGCAAUCGACCCGUCUUGAAACACGGACCAAGGAGUCUAACAUGUAUGCGAGUAUAAGGGUGGCAAACCCGUAUGCGCAAUGAAAGUGAUUUUCGGUGAUUGAGAAUGGCCUGAUGACCAGACAAGCAAUAUUAUGUCCCUCGUACGGCCAUUGCCCAAGUUCCGUGGUAGAUCCCACGAACAUGGAGUUGGAGCAUACAUGCUAGGACCCGAAAGAUGGUGAACUAUGCCUGGACAAAGUGAAGCCAAAGGAAACUCUGGUGGAGGCUUGUAGCGAUUCUGACGUGCAAAUCGAUCGUCUGAUCUGGGUAUAGGGGCGAAAGACUAAUCGAACCUCCC